ACCAAAUCCGAGCUUGCGAUUCACAGCAACAACAGAGCAGACGAAAAAAAAAGAUUGUUUGAGUAUUUUUGGAUUCGAUAAUUUGAACUAUCACAACAAAUUGCAAAUUUGAUAUUUUGGGCAAACUUUAGGUGACUCCUAGAUCGGUUCCCAGAGCCCCCUAUUCGACUGGCAAAACGAUUAUUUAUAGGAUCGAUUCGGGUUUGAGCUAGGGUUUUCUUUACGAAGAUGACGAUGAAAGAGAGGAGAGAGGAGAGGGGAGGGGGCGGCGUCUGAUGAAGGAGAUAGGGUUUCCUUUGUUUUGAACGAAUCCGGGUCGGGUCAAAAGGUUUAGUGGACUGGGUCGAUUAAAAUAUGGGCAGAUGAAUAGGAUGUUGGGCUGGUGAGUUAAAAGAAUGGGCUAAUGAUAUUGAAAUAUGGCCAGAUAAAUUGAAAAUGUGGGCUCAUCUUAUGACUUGAUCAAAAAAAAAAUAGUAUGAGUUGAUUGGGCUACUACAUUUAAAUAAAAGAGCUAUUUAAAUAACUCUAUACUAAAGUGUGUUAAAAUAUUACUUAAUAUAAAAUAUGCAAUUAUUAGUGCUCAGAUGAUAAAAUUAUAUGUCGUCGUAAUAGCCGUGCAAUAAUAUUUAGAAAGUCCACAGUAAAUAAAUACUAUUAUUCUAAUUAUGCGAAGAUAAAUGCAAUGCGUGUGCGUAAGCUGGUAAAAAAGUGCUGAAAUGAUAAAAAAUGUGAAUUAUAAUAGUACUGGUAACGUAAUAAUAAUAAUAAUAAUAAUAAUAAUAGCAGCUAGUAACUGUAAUAGAAUAAUGAAACGCCGGUAUUGAUAAGAGGCUAAUAAUUAUAGUAAAAUAUAAAUAUAUUUUUUAAUUUGCCAAAAAUAUUAGAAGCGUAAAUAGGUAUUUCGGAGGAGAGGCGGGACAAAAUUGGGUGUCAACAAUCUACAGAUAUGGCCGCAUAUUGAGAAGUUGGAUGCCGAGGUACUAACUGAAGAUAUUCAUCCUCUGGUUCGAAAAGCUAUGUACUGUGGAUUGCGAAGACCUUUGGAUGGAUGAUCUAUAACUUUGUCAGUUUCUUUUUAUUUUGUUCUAUUGCUUGUGCUUGAUGUUCCUGAUGAGUUUUGUUGGUGUAUGAUGAGUAUUGGAUUUUGUUAGGUAGAUUAGAUGUUCAUUUUAGUUGAAUGUAAAAUAGUUGUAAAAGCAAAAGUUGUAGGAAGAAUGGUGUAUUUUUCAGACUAGAGAAUUCGUUUCGUUUAAUGAUAUAGGAUUACCAUGCAUAUUA